rnacentral:rRNA from 1 species
CCUACGGGUGGCAGCAGUGGGGAAUAUUGGACAAUGGGCGAAAGCCUGAUCCAGCCAUGCCGCGUGUGUGAAGAAGGCCUUCGGGGUGUAAAGCACUUUCAGUGGGGAAGAAAGCCUUGGGGCUAAUACCCUCGAGGAAGGACAUCACCCACAGAAGAAGCACCGGCUAACUCCGUGCCAGCAGCCGCGGUAAUACGGAGGGUGCGAGCGUUAAUCGGAAUUACUGGGCGUAAAGCGCGCGUAGGCGGUCUGAUAAGCCGGUUGUGAAAGCCCCGGGCUCAACCUGGGAACGGCAUCCGGAACUGUCAGGCUAGAGUGCAGGAGAGGAAGGUAGAAUUCCCGGUGUAGCGGUGAAAUGCGUAGAGAUCGGGAGGAAUACCAGUGGCGAAGGCGGCCUUCUGGACUGACACUGACGCUGAGGUGCGAAAGCGUGGGUAGCAAACAGGAUUAGAUACCCCGGUAGUC